rnacentral:rRNA from 1 species
CAGGGAGAAUGUCUUGUAAUUGGAAUGAUGGUGACCCAAACCCUCACCAGAGUAGCAAUUGGAGGGCAAGUCUGGUGCCAGCAGCAGCGGUAAUUCCAGCUCCAAUAGCGUAUAUUAAACUUGUUGCAGUUAAAAAGCUCGUAGUUGUAUUUUUGCGUUAGCGGUUUGACCAUUUGGUUGGUUAUUUCGUUUUCGCUUUUGGGAAUUUCCCUUUUUACUUUGAGAAAAUUAGAGUGUUUCAAGCAGACUUUUGUCUUGAAUACUUCAGCAUGGAAUAAUAGAGUAGGACUUUGGUUCUAUUUUGUUGGUUAUUGAACCUUAGUAAUGGUUAAUAGGAACGGUUGGGGGCAUUCGUAUUUAACUGUCAGAGGUGAAAUUCUUAG